rnacentral:rRNA from 1 species
GACAGAGGUGCCAAGCGUUAGGCGGAAUCACUGGGCUUAAAGCGUGUGUAGGUGGAUGCCUAAGUACCUUGUGAAAUCCCACGGCUCAACCGUGGAACUGCUCGGUAUACUGGGUGUCUUGAGCCACUUAGGGGCUACCGGAACAAAUGGUGGAGCGGUGAAAUGCGUAGAUAUCAUUUGGAACGCCAAUGGUGAAAACAGGUAGCUGGGAGUGUGCUGACACUGAGACACGAAAGCCAGGGGAGCGAACGGG